AGAGGAGUAUGGCAAGCUCCUGUCCUGUAUCUGCACACCACUGAAGAAGAGAUACUCAGUGGUCAGCACUACCAACCCUUCUUUCAGCCACUCCCAGGGGUCAAGGAGCGCAGAGACCACGGGGGAGUCGCAGAUCUGACAUCACCAAACCCCCAUAAUGCACCUCUUUACCCCUCCUCCCAUGACAAAGGUUCCCACUAGAUGUUCAAACUGUAAAGUCAAAAUGGUCAAUAUCGUAAACAUUUAUGAAAACAAAUAUUUGCGCUUAGCAGUGUAGUUAAGAUAUAUUGUAGAAAUGGGAAGUGUUUCUGAUUUAGUAUCUUGGCCAGAUAGUGACACACCAGAAACACUCAGCCCGAGGAUAGUACUGUUCAGACCAGGUUAGUAGAAAAUGUGUCCAACUAUCCCGCCCGAUAGUAAAAAUUGUUGUCCGCUAGCCAGGUUGGCCAGAGCCCAAAAUCCUUCAGUUCCAUCCCUGAUUAGACACUUCAUAUCAAACUUGAUAUUAACCACUGUCUUAUCAAGCAUUAGGUUAUCCAAUCAGAAGGUAUGUGAUCUUCAUGUCAUCCAAUUGGAAUCCAUAUGGUCUUUAUGUCAUCCAAUCAGAAGUUACAUGAUCUUCAUGUCAUCCAAUCAGAAGUUACAUGAUCUUCAUGUCAUCCAAAAGAUCGGUUCAAUUUUACACAACUUCGUCAAAUAGAUGAAACCAUACUUAUAAACAGAAGCUUUCUUUCUUUACAUGAAUGUGAUAGAUUUAUAGUAAUAUUUAUUACCAAGAGCACAAGAUAGCACAAUAUAGGGUGACUGUUCUACACUAAUAAAUCCAAAGGGAUUUAGAAAAACAUUAAGUGAAGAUUUGUGUUAGUUGUGACCUAAUGGACUGUUAUACUGUCAUACUGUAAAUGUGUUAUUGAUCUAUAACACUUUAUUAAUAACAUUUAAGAAUAAUAUGCAUGUUUAUACAUUCAGGCUAGUAAUGUUUACACAUUCUUAUAAAUGUUUACAAAUAUAAUUGUAAAUAGUUUAUAAAUCGUUAAAAGGUUUAUUCAUGAUAGUUAUUAUCAAGUGUUACCAUGGACACCUCUAUGUACCUCUACUACCGUUAAAAAGCUUGGGGUCACUUAGAAAUGUCCUUGUUUAUGAAAGAAAAGCACAGAAUUUGUCCAUUAAAAUAACAUCAAAUUGAUCAGAAAUACAGUGUAGACAUUG